rnacentral:piRNA from 1 species
UGGCGGUACAGAGAUAAGGAACAGGUAG